GAUGAAUGCUGGCGGCGUGCUUAACACAUGCAAGUCGAGCGGUAACAGGGGUAGUUUACUACCUGCUGACGAGCGGCGGACGGCUGAGUAACGCGUGGGAACAUGCCCCAAAGUGAGGAAUAAGCUCCAGAAAUGGAGUCUAAUGCCGCAUAUGAUCUUCGGAUUAAAGGAUUUAUCCGCUUUGGGAGUGGCCUGCGUAC
rnacentral:rRNA from 1 species